AUUAUCCUACAUUCAGGAUUGAAAACUCCAUCCUCUAGGUAACUCAUGACAGAAGACCCCUAUUCUCAGGACAGGGAAAAAGGACUCUUAACAAGAAAAGAAGGGACCCAGCUCUACCUGCCUGAGCACCAGGCAGCCUUCCAGCCUGGCACAGUCCCAAACCUUACCCCAGACCUCAGUGAUUCCUUCUAGAACACACCAGUCUCCCCGUUUUUAAGGAAACCAUUAACAUUCAGCUACAGCCACCAAACCCCAGGACACUCAAGGAACACUGUUCGGCCACGGGUGGGUUGGAGUCUUGUGUUAACAUUUUGGAAGAGUCAGUGUGUGAUGGAAAAAGAAGCAACAGUCUUUACCGUUUGCCAGAGGCUAUGGAGGGAAUCGGCAGUAGUGGCCUUUGUGGCGCAGAAGUAGGUUUGGGGUGGCGAGACAUGGGAUCCAUGGAAAGGAGUCCAGCCAGGAGGCACUUGUCCCACAGUGCACUGGGAGCACAGCCUCCCACGAACGCACGUGACAGCUGCCAUCACGAGAAUUAGGAGGUGGCUGCGCCCUUCUUUUGUUGGCAGAGCAGCUGCUGGAAACUUCUCCUGAGUCAGUCUCGUCAGAACCCUGGCCAUGGAAGACUCAGUACCAGGAAAAAGUCUCUAUAUAUCAGACUCCCUGGCUCUCAGAAGACAGUCUGAAGAAGACGAAACCACAUCCCAGUUAAGUUCUCUGUUUGAUCCAGAGAAAGCAGGCAGCUCUGGGCAUUCACUCUGAGCCUGCUGGAAUUGUACUGGACUGAAGCUCCCUGCCAAGGCCCUGCUGAGCCUCAGACAUGUUUAUUAGACCCACCAGGGAGCUUAAGAAGGUUCUGGAAUGAGUCCCUCUGGCCAGACAGCUUCCCCCAACCUUCCAGCCCCUGCACAGGAUUUGGCCUUCAGCACCCCUCAGCAUUCAGACCUGUGGAAGCCGCCUCUCACUUGGUUUUCUCAGGGCCCGCCCUUUUGACAAGAAUUUCUGAGCUGGUUGUGUCAGUCAGAGAAUAAAAAGCAUUGAACUGGCCCACAAUUUCUUUUGCAUCCCAGGCAUCCAGCCAUGACCAGCCAGAUUUUCUAACUUGUCAGACUCACUGAGACCCUGGUAGACCACAUGGUUGCCAUGGUUUUCUAGAGGGACUUUAUCUGAGGUGGCCUUGCUUUCUGGUCUUUCUCAGGGGACCGGGUAGACAGUGCCAUUCCUUCCUGUUUCCUCCUUGUUCAUCUUUGUAUCCAUCGGGUCGGCUUCAGAAAGCGCUGUCCCCUUUCUUGGACUACCUUGGCACCCGUGUCCUCCUUGAGGCCACACCAGGCAGUCUCACAAGAGCCGCGUGUUUUGGACAGGGCAAUUCUUAAUAAAUGUGAUAACCAUGAU